rnacentral:rRNA from 1 species
GUGUCAGCAGCCGCGGUAAGACGUACUGCGCGAACGUUAUUCGGAAUCACUGGGCUUAAAGGGUGCGCAGGCGGCUCUCCAAGCCCGAAGUGAAAGGUCCCGGCCCAACCGGGGACGUGCUUCGGGGACUGGCGGGCUCGGGCGAGCUAGGGGUCUGUGGAACUCCCGGUGGAGCGGUGAAAUGUGUUGAGAUCGGGAGGAACGCCGGUGGCGAAAGCGACAGACUGGGGCUUUGCCGACGCUCAUGCACGAAAGCCAGGGGAGCGAACGGGAUUAGAUACCCGAGUAGUCC